rnacentral:misc_RNA from 1 species
AGGUAUUUAUUUUUGUACAUCCCAUGGAGCUCUAGUCAUUGUCAUUGUCAUCAAAUUAUGAGUUAAUAAUAUCCCGACUUGCAUGAUAGAUUAUAAUAAGUAUUAGUGGUAUCAGUGAUACAAUAAACUUGCACUUGACCCUCAGCCAGCUUUCUAGGUUCAACAACAAAAAAUGUCUUAUGGCCAUAAGUGCACCUUUUUAAGGGAUUGUGGUGCAUCAAGUCAACCUUUUGUGGUGACAUAGUCCUCUUUCGAUUGGUUGCUUUUCUAAUUAUAAUUGAUCAAGUGCUUGUUAUCUUUUUAUCUUCUUGGUAACAUUUAGCAAGCUUUUGGAUAUACUCCAUUUCAACGUCUUUGGAUUUGUACACUGUCGUAGUUUCAAGAUGGUCCAUGGGUUAUGCCACCUAACAGAAGAUGUUAGUGGCUUUAGGCUCCAAUAUGAUGGUCUGGGACUGAUCUGAAAGGAAGUCUGAUUUUAUCUCCAAUUCCUUAUAACAGAAUUGAUAUUAAAUUAGUGUUGUACUCCUAUAGUAAAUAUUGAGAGAGCCUCUUUUGCUUAUUCAAAGUUUAGGUUGUGGGAGUCCUACUGAUACAGAUA